rnacentral:rRNA from 1 species
UACAGAGGGUGCAAGCGUUGUUCGGAAUUACUGGGCGUAAAGCGCACGUAGGCGGCUCUUUAAGUCGGGGGUGAAAUCCUGGAGCUCAACUCCAGAACUGCCUUCGAUACUGUAGAGCUUGAGUUCGGGAGAGGUGAGUGGAACUGCGAGUGUAGAGGUGAAAUUCGUAGAUAUUCGCAAGAACACCAGUGGCGAAGGCGGCUCACUGGCCCGAUACUGACGCUGAGGUGCGAAAGCGUGGGGAGCAAACAGG